AGGGUUUGAUCCUGGCUCAGAACGAACGCUGGCGGCAGGCCUAACACAUGCAAGUCGAGCGCACCUUCGGGUGAGCGGCGGACGGGUUAGUAACGCGUGGGAAUAUACCCAGUUCUAAGGUAUAGCCUCGGGAAACUGAGAGUAAUACCUUAUACGCCCUUCGGGGGAAAGAUUUAUCGGAAUUGGAUUAGCCCGCGUUAGAUUAGGUAGUUGGUGGGGUAAUGGCCUACCAAGCCUACGAUCUAUAGCUGGUUUGAGAGGAUGAUCAGCAACACUGGGACUGAGACACGGCCCAGACUCCUACGGGAGGCAGCAGUGGGGAAUCUUGGACAAUGGGCGAAAGCCUGAUCCAGCCAUGCCGCGUGAGUGACGAAGGCCCUAGGGUCGUAAAGCUCUUUCAACUGUGAAGAUGAUGACGGUAGCAGUAGAAGAAACCCCGGCUAACUCCGUGCCAGCAGCCGCGGUAAUACGGAGGGGGUUAGCGUUGUUCGGAAUUACUGGGCGUAAAGCGCACGUAGGCGGACUAUUAAGUAGAGGGUGAAAUCCCGGGGCUCAACCCCGGAACUGCCUUCUAUACUGGUAGUCUUGAGUUCGAGAGAGGUGAGUGGAAUUCCGAGUGUAGAGGUGAAAUUCGUAGAUAUUCGGAGGAACACCAGUGGCGAAGGCGGCUCACUGGCUCGAUACUGACGCUGAGGUGCGAAAGUGUGGGGAGCAAACAGGAUUAGAUACCC
rnacentral:rRNA from 1 species